AUCCAGUUGACGAGUCCCAAUUUGGACAAAAUGUUCGUCCUGGAU
rnacentral:hammerhead_ribozyme from 1 species